GGAGCAGAGAGACAAGGAAAUGCUGUCACCGCCGUUAACACGCACGUGGAGGUGUCAGCAGACAAGACCAAGCUGAUGACACGGUGGAUGCUCGAUGACUUCUCCAGGGCAUUCGCGGCCCGCUCUUCUGCCACUGGCCAGUGCAUUUUUUGCUGACACCUGCGCCACAAGAAGUCCAUUCUCCUGUUCGUUGCACCAGUCAGUGCCAUCAAAGCCAGAUGCCAGGCCAGCCUUGAAGAGAAACAUCGAUCAGCCCAAUUCCUAACAAGAAAGACCUGCUUGUUCCAUUUGGAAGUCUUCGGUGCUCUGUGCUCAGCACUCACCACAAAGGCACCUCGGCCCCAGGUGUCAGUAUAUAGCACAAGGGUAAUUUCUUUGAGUGAAUUUACACCUUUACAUAACAAUAGAUAUGACCUCAUAGUUAUCACCAAGACCGGGUAUGUUCAAUGACCGAAUAUAAGAAGGAUGAAAAUAUAGUAAAUUCCAUUUUUGUUUAAAAAUGUGUGUAUGUAUCUAUAUAUGAAUAGUCAAACAGUUUAAAAGUUCUAUAAAAAUGCUAAAACAUUCAAAGCCUUUAUCUCUGGGUAACAGGAUUUUGCUUGACUUAGAAAUUUCCCUCCUUAUUUUUAUGUUAUUUUCUCAUUUUCCCACAAUGAACAUACUCUAUUGUACUUAUUUUUAGUAAAGGAAAAGAGAGAAGGUUGAGAAAGUAAUGAAGGGCCUCUCUACUCUGCAUGUCAGUCUGAUCCAAAAGAAAGAUGAGGCCAAGUAAACUGGACGUCACAAGAAUUGGGGAGGGGUGGUCUGGCCAUCAGAGUAGAGAGAUCAGGAAGGAAAGGAACUCCAGGCAGAGACAGACUUGCAUCCUAGACCUUUGCAAAGUAGAUUUCAGGAAGUUCAGAAACAAGGAGUAAUUCUUCAGAAACUCUAAAAGGCAAAAGGGCUCAAGAAAAAGAAAUUCUUCCAAUAAAACUCACAAAUCAUCCCAGUGUUGAAUACAGGGAGAAGCAGCUACUUAAACAAAUAGGGUCUGAUUUCAGUCACUUUUAAUAUGAUGCUUCGUUGCCAGUUUUGCUUGGCAUUGGGCUGCAGAGGGAGUCAGCAGAGAGCUUGAUUGGAGUAGAGAACUGAUUUUAAUAGGGCAUGUGUAAAAGAACCAAGGUGACCCAGGCCAGGAGAGCUGGCAUUUAAGGACUGAAGCCCAGAAAGGCACUUCAAAAAUACCAGAGAUCACUGAAAGAGACCUUAAUUAAAAAACAAAAACAAACAACAACAACAAAAAAACACUACACUUAGAUCAAGCAGCAGCAGGGAAAAGGAGAGGCUAAGCCUACUUAUAAUUGUGCCUAAGAGUCUUCCCAGAGAACUUUUGUUGCUCAGAUGUAGCCUGCUCAGAUGUGGCUUCUCUCUCUAAGCCCACUCAGUAGGUGAACUC